AGAGUUUGAUCCUGGCUCAGGGUGAACGCUGGAAAUGUGGAUACUGGCAUGCAAGUCAAGGGGCCGCAAGGCACCGGCGAACGGCUUAGUAACACGUAGAUACAUACCCAAAAGUGGGGCAUAGCUCGUCGAAAGACGGGGUAAUUUCCCAUGGCACCGCAAGGUUAAAGACGCAAGUCGCUUUUGGAAUGGUCUGCGGUCUAUCAGCUAGUUGGCGGGGUAAAAGCCCACCAAGGCUAUGACGGAUAGGGGGCGUGAGAGCGCGACCCCCAAGAAUGGCACUGCGACACGGGCCAUACUCCUACGGGAGGCUGCAGUCGAGAAUCUUCCGCAAUGGGCGAAAGCCUGACGGAGCGACAUUUCGUGAUGGAUGAAGCCCUUCGGGGUGUAAACAUCUUUUAUCUGGGAGGAAGCGCAAGCUGACAGUACCAGAUGAAUAAGGGGUUACUAACUCUGUGCCAGCAGUAGCGGUAAUACAGAGACCCCGAGCGUUACCCGGAUUUAUUGGGCGUAAAGAGUCUGUAGGUGGUAGAGUAAGUUGUAAAUUAAACUUCAUCGGCUUAACCUUUGAACUGUUUACAAUACUGCUAUACUAAGAGGGCGUUAGAGGCAAACGGAACCGACGGAGUAGGGGUGAAAUCCGUUGAUAUCGUCGGGAACACCAAAAGCGAAGGCAGUUUGCUGGGACGACCCUGACACUGAGAGACGAAAGCGUGGGGAGCAAAAAGGAUUAGAUACCCUAGUAGUCC
rnacentral:rRNA from 1 species